GACAGGAACAUGCCUUGACUUGUACCGGCUUGUCUGAAGUCAGCUCCAGUUUGUGAUCAACACAGCAGCUGUGUGUAUGUGUGUGUUUGUUUGUUCCCUCUGCACAAUGACCCUGGCCAUGGUGAAGAUAACUACACACAUCUUGGUUCUACCAGUAUCUCUCUGUGUCUGUCUGCUCUGUGCCCUGGACUUACAGCUGUAAACCCCUGGACUAGCAAAUAUGUCGGUGGUUGUCCCUUCACUGGAAAACCCCAGCUUUACCAUAAUUCACUCUGUUCCUUCAAGCAGAGAGACAGAUAAUUUGUUCCUGCAGCCCAAAGAGACAUUAGCAGCUUUACCAGAGGUCCUUGCAGUGACUGAGAAGCUAAAGCAGGCACAGUGGAAUAACUCAUCAUCCUUGUUUCAAAGGGGACCCUGGGAUUUAAAACUGUUAAACCCUAGUGUGAAAAUUUUGCACUUAUCUGUCAUCAGCAGUUAGUCUGUCAUCAGUGGUUAUAGCUAAAUAUUUGGACAUACAAGAGCUCUUAAAAAACUGUGAUUGCUGACACAAAGGCUUCCAUAAAGUAGGACGUGUAUUUCUGAACUGAGUUCUCAAGGGAUGAGAAUGAGGAAAAGAAAUGGGAGUAAAAGUGCAGAGGAGAAGGAGGUAAAGAGUAGAAGAAGAGGUGUGUCAAGAGAAGUGGCUACUGUGAGUGUUUCUCUGGCAGUGUCUUAGCUGGUUGUUGUGAGGAGUGAGAACGAAGCAAUCAGCAAGUAUACUGCCGCAGAAACUCGUCACCAUGCGAAGCCUGUCCAGACGCAGCUUCAAGACUUUGACCUAGAGAUCGAAGGAACUCCAUUUUAUACCAUCAGCCUCUGUGUAAUAGUGAUCUGUUUCUUAAUAUUUGCACUUCAGUUUCUCAUUUCUUCUGUAUUUGUGUUGUUUCAUUCUGUAUGUAAUAGUUUUUACUGUUCUCGUUUCCGCAAAUGUCUCUUGUAAUAAAAUAAGAUGAAACAUGCUCAGUCAGCUGUUGCCAUGAACAACAUGAUUGAUUGAUUGAUUGAUUGAUUGACUGCUUUGUGUUUGUUUGUUUGUUUGUUUGUUUGUUUGUCGGCAGCCUGGCCGUAACGCGGGCCUGAUGAACAUGUGCAGU